AGGACGAACGCUGGCGGCGUGCCUAACACAUGCAAGUCGAGCGAGGAGAUUCCUUCGGGAUGAUCCUAGCGGCGGACGGGUGAGUAACACGUGGGCAACCUGCCUCAUAGAGAGGAAUAGCCUUCCGAAAGGGAGAUUAAUACCUCAUAACAUUGCAGUUUCGCAUGGAACAGCAAUUAAAGGAGUAAUCCGCUAUGAGACGGGCCCGCGGCGCAUUAGCUAGUUGGUGAGGUAACGGCUCACCAAGGCGACGAUGCGUAGCCGACCUGAGAGGGUGAUCGGCCACAUUGGGACUGAGACACGGCCCAGACUCCUACGGGAGGCAGCAGUGGGGAAUAUUGCACAAUGGGGGAAACCCUGAUGCAAGCAACGCCGCGUGAGUGAUGACGGCCUUCGGGUUGUAAAGCUCUGCCUUCAGGGACGAUAAUGACGGUACCUGAGGAGGAAGCCACGGCUAACUACGUGCCAGCAGCGGC
rnacentral:rRNA from 1 species